rnacentral:ribozyme from 12 species
CACACACACACACACACAAAAAAAAAAAAAAAAAAAAAAAAAAAAAAAAAAAAAAAAAAAUCUUCAUCUUCCUUUUCUUUACAU